AGCAAAGGGGUUAUUUCCCCUAAGAAAAAUGGUGUUGCUCUGGCGUAUUUUGGCUGACAUGCGUUUCCCUGGUGGCAG
rnacentral:pre_miRNA from 1 species